rnacentral:rRNA from 1 species
CUUGGUCAUUUAGAGGAAGUAAAAGUCGUAACAAGGUUUCCGUAGGUGAACCUGCGGAAGGAUCAUUAGUGAACGCCCUCACGGGCUUAUAACUAUUCCAAACCUCUGUGAACCGUGCCCUUCGGGGCUAUUUUACAAACAUGGUGUAAUGAACGUCAUAUAUCAUAACAAAACAAAACUUUCAACAACGGAUCUCUUGGCUCUCGCAUCGAUGAAGAACGCAGCGAAAUGCGAUAAGUAAUGUGAAUUGCAGAAUUCAGUGAAUCAUCGAAUCUUUGAACGCACCUUGCGCCCUCUGGUAUUCCGGAGGGCAUGCCUGUUUGAGUGUCACGUAGACUCAAUCCCUCGGGUUUCCGAGGAGAUUGGACUUGGGUGUUGCCGCUCUGCCGGCUCGCCUUAAAAGACUUAGCGGGAUAGCACCGUAGUCGGCGUAAUAAGUUUCGUCGGUGAAGGUUGUGAUGACUGCUUACAAUCGCCCUCGGGCAAUUUUUGACUCUGACCUCAAAUCAGGUAGGACUACCCGCUGAACUUAAGCAUAUCAAUAAGCGGAGGA